rnacentral:rRNA from 2 species
UACAGAGGUCCCAAGCGUUGUUCGGAUUCACUGGGCGUAAAGGGUGCGUAGGCGGCUGGGUAAGUCUGACGUGAAAUCUCCGGGCCUAACCCGGAAACUGCGUUGGAUACUAUCCAGCUAGAGGAAUGGAGGGGAGACUGGAAUACUUGGUGUAGCAGUGAAAUGCGUAGAUAUCAAGUGGAACACCAGUGGCGAAGGCGAGUCUCUGGACAUUUCCUGACGCUGAGGCACGAAAGCCAGGGGAGCAAACGGG